rnacentral:lncRNA from 1 species
UAGCGCGUUGACCAGCAUAGAGUUCAUAUACUGACUCUAGAGGAAAAGCUCCCUAUAGGGCCCAUGUAUAGAAACCUAUAACCGCAAGGGUUCCGC